AAGUAAUUUAUCUUGUCAUUUACUUGAUGCUUUGCAUUUUAGUAUAGAUAGUAGUUCAAUGUCGCUAUUUUUCAAGAAAUAUCGGUUUUCCCAUAGAACGAAAUCGUUUAUUUCAAAGAUAAGAAAUCUAUUCUUAUAAUUUUUCUUCUCGUUAAAUUAAUGAUUAGUGAUUGGAUAAAUUAAUAAGAAGAUUUCAGGAAGAGAAAACGAAUUAUUUAAAAUUAUUAAUAGAAAGAAAAAAUAUAUAUACAUAUAUAUAUUGUGAUUCCGUUUAAUGUUUAUUUUGUUAUAGUUCAAAAAGCAAUUCAUUAAAAGAAUUUGAAACUAUAGAAUGAUCGAGAUUGUUUAAACUAUGUCAAAAAGAAAAAAAAAAUAUCAAAUCAAACACUUGGAUGAGAAAUAUAAAAGAAAUUUGUUCAAAUGCAUUAGUUACGUUUUGAGGUAAACAUCGUUGCUUUGAUCUAUAUGGAUAUUAAGAAAAUAUAGGGGUAGCUACUACUGGUUGAUUCAUACUUAUCGCACAUGCUAUACUUGUCACGAAAGAAGUGACUGACUUCGAAAAGACCAUAAUUUUCUUCGCGUCUAUAUAUAAAUGUGUAAGAAAGAAAAAUAAAACAAAACGGAGAAUACAUUGCAGAUAUCGUACAUUAUAAUUUUGUUUGAGAGCUUCCUUUAUAUCUGCCCAGAAAAACCACUAAAAGAUUAUUGUAAAUCGAAGAAUUAUUAUAAAUAAUUAAUCAAUAUCAACAGCUAAUACGUUGAUACAAUUACCAUGAAGUACGAACCGGAAGUUUGCAUGAUCUUAAAAAAAAAAAUUAUUACUUAUUAAGUGAAGUAAAGUAUAACAAAUGGAUUUUCGAAAUUAGUAUACCUUCGCAAAAGUUUCUAAACAAAAUAUGAAUAUUUUACCACCAGUCAAGUAACAAGUACUGUAAUCUAUCAUUCUUUGACCUGGAUAACAUAUACUUAAAAAGUGAACAAACUGAGCACAUGAAAAAGUGAAGAACCUAAGUGCUUCUGUUGUUUUAUCCAGCAACAUUAAUGUCUAUAAAAAUAAAUAUGAAGAAGGAGAGAAAGAUAUAUUUUCAGUAUAGAAAUAAAAAAACAAAAACUUACUUGGAACAUAGAAACACUCAAACAUAUCAAUCCAGUAAAAGCUUGCAUAAGAAAAGAUAUUGAAUAACAAGAUUCAAUAAGUUCAGCAAACCUUUUGGUAAAAUAUUUACGUAUAUACGUAAGUAACUAUAUAUAAUUUUAU